rnacentral:lncRNA from 1 species
GAAGAAGAAUGUGCGCCGGAAUAGCACUUGCCCUCAGGAUUAUGCCAUUGACACUCGCUUCUUUGCUUCAUGGAUUUGAAAUCGCAACUCCGACGGGUGAACCAGUUGACAUGCGUGAGUCGAUGGAAUUUACCAACCAUAGAACCUCCCAACUUGACGUCCUUCUCACUCCGCGCCUUCCUGCUCAAGUAUACGAAGAGUAUGGUAAAUAAGGCAAAUCUGCUUUGCUGGUAUUUAGGGCACAGGUUACAUGCAAGUGAUGACUAGAGUAUUCAUAAACUCACGGGGGGCAUCACUACGUUUUGCAUUAAUUUGGUCACCUCUGGAAUUAUGUUACUAAAUCAUGGUUAAGUAUUUGUUUUAAGGGGAUUUUAGAUCUUAAUAAAUAAAAAAACCUUGUGCUACUGUUAGAUCUAAUUCAGGUGCUUUUCUUGAUGACUAAGGUACACAAACUUUGGUUUUUGUUUUCUUAUUAUAACAUGGAUUUUUUUUUUUGUUUUGGUCCAUAAAUGUUCUAGUUUUUUUCUAUGCCCAUUUUAUCCCUACAUUGCCAUAAUUGGUGAAUUUCCGAAAUAUAGUAAAUGCGUUGGAGAUUAUUAUUAUUAUUAUUUUGGUGAAUUUCCUUAUCAUUCAUUUCUUUAACAAGUUCCUUCCAGAUCAGAUUUUUUUUUCGUUAAAAAGAAUUUCAUAUUGAAUAUCUAGUCAAAUUACAAGAAAAUGACAAUUAUGGUAAAUGCAAAAAUAAACAAAUAUAAUUCCUUUUUGCCAUUUCAUCCCUAUCUCUUCCUUUAAUGUGUUUGUACUAAGACCAUCUCCAAACUUGGGCUAAAAGCCAAAUUACCACCCAAAUUACCCCCCCAAACACUCUCCAACCCAUCUUAAAAUUUUAGGCUAAAUGCCAAAUAUUAUUUAUGGGCCAAAUACCUCCCAGCUUUCCCCCCGGGCUAAAUGCCAAAUGUUUAUCGAAUUUAAAUUUUUUUCGAUUAAAAUGUUCAUAAAAUUAAUUUACAAUAAUCUACAUAUUUAUUUAUUUUUUUUUAAAAUUGAUUUAAGAAAAAAAUUAGCCUAAGUUCAUUCUUUAAUAAUUCCGGGCUAAAAUUUUAGGGCAGAAGGGUUGGAGCAGAAAAGAUGUUUCUGGGCUAAAAGCCAAAUUUUCCGGGAGCCUAAGGGUUGGAGAUGGUCUAAUAUGGAUUGGAGAAAUUUUUUUUUUUUUUUUUGUGAAUUUCCUUAUCAUUCAUUUCUUUAACAAGUUCCUUCCAGAUCAGAUUUUUUUUUCGUUAAAAAGAAUUUCAUACUGAAUAUCUAGUCAAAUUACAAGAAAAUGACAAUUAUGGUAAAUGCAAAAAUAAACAUAUAUAAUUCUUUUUUGCAAUUUCAUCCCUAUCUCUUCCUUUAAUGUGUUUGUACUAUGGAAUGGAGAUAUUUUUUUUUUUUGGUGAAUUUCCUUAUCAUUCAUUUCUUUAACAAGUUCCUUCCAGAUCGGAUUUUUUGUCUUUAGAAAGAAUUUCAUACUGAAUAUCUAGUCAAAUUACAAGAAAAUGACAAUUAUGGUAAAUGCAAAAAUGAACAAAUAUAAUUCCUUUUUGCCAUUUCAUCCCUAUCUCUUCCUUUAAUGUGUUUGUACUAAUAUGGAAUAAAACGCACAAGGAAUUUACACCCUCCAUUUACCAUAUAUGUUUGGAUACACUGAACCAGAAUAAUUAGAAAGUCUGUAACUUCUCCAAAUUCACUAUAUAAAACAAAACAAAACCCCCAUCCAUAUAUCACUGACAAGACAAACAAGCUAGCUAAGGACUCCCCAUCAAACAAUCUCUAUGGACUUCCACCUACCAUCUCUUGUUCCUUUUGUGGUAGCAUCAUUGGCCUUUUCAUUGUUCCUCUACUCUAUAAUUUUUAAGUCAAGAAAAGCAGUUAGAAAACUACCACCUCAAGCCAGAAGUGCGUGGCCGAUAAUUGGUCACCUACCCUUGUUAGUACGUUCGUCUGAGCCACUACAUGUGGUGAUAGCUCAAUUGGCGGACACAUACGGACCGAUCUUCACUUUCAUGUUCGGAGUGAAGAGAACCCUAGUUUUGAGCAGCUCGGAAAUGGCGAAAGAGUGCUUAAAGACCUACGACAAAGUGUUUGCUAGCCGUGUAAGCUCUUUAGCCUCAGAAAUCUUGGGCUACAACUAUGCCUUCUUUCCUUUCAGCUCUUACGGCUACUACUUUAGUCAUGUACAGAAGAUGGUCAUGGCGGAGGUCUUAUCCCCCCACCGCGUCGAGAUGCUCAAACACUUUAGAGAAUCCGAAGUGAGUGCAUCGAUGAAAGAAAUAUACGAUCGGUGGACGAAGAACAACAAGAGUAGUGGUUCCGAUAAGGUGGUGGUACAGAUGAAGGACUGGUUUGCGGACAUAAACCAGAACGUGGUCUUUAGAAUGAUUAUCGGGAAACGAAUUUCAGAAGCUACAAAUUACACGCAUGGAGACUUGAUAGGGAGUGAUGUAUUCAAGGAUUGGCUUCGACUGAAUGCUACUUUUGUACUGUCGGAUGCGCUUCCGUUCUUGAGGUGGUUGGAUUUGGGUGGCCAUGAGAAGACCAUGAGGAAGGUAGCAAAGGAGGUAGAUCAAGUGCUUCAAGGAUGGUUAGAAGAGCAUAAGCAAAAGAAAAAGAGGACUGUUUCUAGUGGAGUGAAAGAUGAUGAGGAGGAGCGUGACUUCAUGGAUUUGAUGCUUUCAGUUCUUGAUGAUGCUAAAGUUACCAAUUCUUUUGAAGCUGACAUUAUCAACAAAGCUACCUCACUGGUACGUAUGUGCAGUUUAGCAUUUAAUUGUUUAAAUUUUCAUUUUUGCUUUCUUUUCUUACACAUUCAUCUUUAUUUAUAGCCAUCAGAUUGAAUAAAUGAGUAAUGUGAAGGAGACGUAUUUAUAACACAUUAGUGUAUAUAUCAUCUUAAUAUCCUUAUGUGUCAACUAAUGCAUACAACCAAUAUCCAAUGAGAUAAACUCAUUAAUUGACGUAAUAUGUACGCAUCAUUUACAACAUCAGAUUGUAUACAAAUGUAUCAUAAAAAAGUAGUCUCCUUAGCAUUUUCCUUACUGAAUGCAUCUAAUAAUUCUAUCGCCCUUCAUCGAUAAGCAUAGGGUUCCAUUUAUUAGAAAGUGUGUCAGCAAAUAUGUAAAUUUUGUUUGUACAAAUGCUAUGGUUGAAUUUUACGUACUUCUCUUGCAGAGUCUUCUUCUAGCAGGUGUAGAUGUGACAACAGGGACAUUAACAUGGGCACUGUCUCUACUUCUUAACAGCCCUAAAACUCUAAAAAAGGUCCAGGAAGAGAUAGACCAAAAUAUUGGCAGAGAGAGGGCAGUAAAAGAAUCAGACGUCGACAACUUAGUCUAUCUCCAAGCCGUUAUCAAAGAAACGCUCCGUUUAUACCCUCCCGGACCAACCUUAUUGCCCCAUGCAUCCAAUGAAGAUUGCGUUCUAGCCGGCUACCAUAUCCCAGCAAACACUCGCGUCCUCGUCAACGUAUGGAAGAUUCAUCGAGACCCGAAGGUCUGGCCCGAUCCAAAUGAGUUUCGACCUGAACGAUUCUUCACAACACACAGCGACAUUGAUGUUAAAGGUCAGGAUUUUGAGUUGAUACCGUUUGGCAGUGGAAGAAGAAUGUGCGCCGGAAUAGCACUUGCCCUCAGGAUUAUGCCAUUGACACUCGCUUCUUUGCUUCAUGGAUUUGAAAUCGCAACUCCGACGGGUGAGCCGGUUGACAUGCGUGAGUCGAUGGAAUUUACCAACUAUAGAACCUCCCAACUUGAAGUCCUUCUCACUCCGCGCCUUUCUGCUCAAGUAUAUGAAGAGUAUGGUAAAUAAAGAAAAUCUGCUUUGCUGGUAUUUAGGGCACAGGUUGCAUGCAAGUGAUGGUUAGAGUAUUCAUAAACUCACGGGGGGCAUCACUACGUUUUUCAUUAAUUUAGUCACCUCUGGAAUUAUGUUACUAAAUCAUGUUUAAGUAUUUGUUUUAAGGGGCUUCUAGAUCUUAAUAAAUAAAAAACCUUGUGCUACUGUUAGAUCUAAUUCAGGUGCUUUUCUUGAUGAC